rnacentral:rRNA from 1 species
UACGUAGGGCGCAAGCGUUGUCCGGAAUUAUUGGGCGUAAAGAGCUCGUAGGCGGUUUGUCGCGUCUGUCGUGAAAGCUUGGGGCUUAACCCCAAGUCUGCGGUGGAUACGGGCAGACUAGAGGCAGGUAGGGGAGAACGGAAUUCCCGGUGUAGCGGUGAAAUGUGUAGAGAUCGGGAGGAACACCGGUGGCGAAGGCGGGUCUCUGGGCAAUUCCUGACGCUGAGGCGCGAAAGCGUGGGGAGCAAACGGG